AUCACUUUGGUGGGAGUGCGUGAGGGGGACGACUAAAGCUCUGGGUGGAUGAGCAGGCAGAAAUAUUAACAGCUUGAAAGAAAGAGAUUGAAAAUGGAGAGCAGGGUAUGUUUAGAUAAAAUGCUUGUUAUUGUUUUUCUCGCAAAAUACUGAAAAAUAUGAGGCUAUUCAUAAAUGUAUUGACUUUGGUGCGCGCGCUGACGGAAUUUCCCGCGCUCUUCUGAUACAACAGGAGCCACCAGUGCUCCAGUAUCUUACCACAUCUGAAAGUGAUUAUCUGAGGAAGGCAGGAGGAGCAGUGACGAAAUGGAUGAGGGGUCCAGGAUGGCUGAGGGGAAGGCUGCCUUUGUCUUCGUCCUCCUCCUCUUCAUCGCCCUGGCCUUGCUCAUCGUGCGCUGCUUCCGCAUCCUACUGGACCCAUACCGCAGCAUGCCCUCCUCCAACUGGACAGACCACACGGAGAAGGACACGUUUGACUACCGCAUUGUCUAAGGAGGACCUAAGGAGCUCCCUCGACACUGUAUUGCAGUGUCCUUCUCCGUGUGGAGAAGGAGCUCCCUUGACACUGAAGCACUGUCAAAUAUUGCAAUGCUCGAGAAGCAACUUUGUUUAUCCAUUUUGCCCAAGGACCACAUGCCGUAUGACUGCUGGUGCCAAACCACCAGUGACACCUUUGGAUUAGAGGCAGCCUUCGAGCAUGCAUCACCUAAGACCUUUCUUUGUCUGCUCUAUUGUAACAUGUUGUAUCAAUUGCUUCACCAUUUACUGCAGUCAUAAGCAGUAAUUGCCAGCCCUUAUUACCCUAAUGACAAUACAUGCGAUUGAUUCCAUACGAAACCAGGACAAAAAAAGGCCAUCAUUUUGCAGAUUUAAAAAAAGAUUUCAUCCAUAGAAUGGUCCUUUGUAAGAAAGAUUGUUGACAUAUAUUUGACAUUUGUAUCUAAAAGCAUAAUUGAGAAAUAAUUGAUCUAAGUUGUCAUAUUUAUGACAUUUUGGCCUUUCCCAGGAGUCCUUAAAUUUGCAUGAUGUGCAAUGAUGCAAGUAAAAGGAGGGCUGUGAUUGGUUACAUUGCCUGCUGUGCCAAUUUCUCAAUAUGAAACGGUCAAUAAAAUAAAAAUAGAGUAUAUUAUGUUCAACAAUAUAUUGAUGUUUGUAUUUUUAAAUAUUCAUAAAUUAAUGUACAAAAAUGUUAUUGAAAUCAUAAUAAUACUCAUAUUACAGAGCAAGCGUUAAAGUUUAAUAUGACACCAAUUUUAGCUUUUUAGCAUCUACAGAUGAAAGAUUAUGGAGUCUUACAGGAGGCCCUGGGUAAGGCAAAAAUGCCAUAAUAUGGCAACUUUGAUUCAGUAAUUCUCAGUUAUGCUUUCCUCCAAAGGACCAUUCUGUGGAUUAAAUGUUGCGAAAAUCCCUAAAUCAUGGUAUUUUAUUUGUUCUGAUUUCGUAUGGAAUCACUUAUAAGGAACAUCUUCUACCAAAUGGCCAACACUUCUACCAAAUGCCUAACACUAUAGGCAUCAUCUAAGGUACCUGCUAUCAAAUCUAACUCCCGAAGACACACUCCAGGCACUCAACUCGUUGCCACUACUAUUGCAUUAUUUCACUACCCCAUCCCCUUAACCUUUUACUGCGGUGGGCUAAACUAGGGUCACACAGAGUUUCUUAGUAGUCUUAAACAAAUAUACUCAGAAAAAAUGUAUACACCUUACACACAUGGUUAUGGGUUAAAAAAAUAAGACAAUUUUACCAAAUCAGAUAUAGAGUUGAAAUGUAUUCAAUUUUGAGUUUGCAUCCCAAUAUUACAUUUUAUAUACAUCACAGAAUACUGAAAUAUAACACAACCGUUUGACAUAGCAACACUGGAUGUUUAUUAAUUAUGAAACUAUGAUAAAUAUUAAUAACAUUCCACCCAUGAGACCACUUUUUGUCAUUUGACUGCAGGAAAGGGCUACAGGUGCUCUAUGCAACAGUUCCUCCUGCAAAUAGGCCUACAUUUCAAUUGUGUACUUGUAGUAGUAAAGGAAUAAAACUCCAUGUAAGAACAAGGAAAACAUUUGAAUGCCGCUUGAAGCUAUAAAGUUGCUUGUUUGCGGCAAGGUCCUCAGUGUAUAAACAGUGUAUCCUGUGGAAUUUUUUACUUCAAUUGUCCACUUUGGCCAACCAGCGCCUUGUGCACUCACAAAGACCCUGACCCUCAUUGAGCUGGUUGAUACUUUUUGAAAUUGGAAGACAGAUAUUUCCUUUAACAUCAGCCAGCCUAUAACAUAACAUUGAUAUCCAUAUCUUUGUCACCCAAGUUCUUUGUUUUCUUGCCAUUGUGGAAAGAGAGGUAGACAAUGUUUCAAAGUAUCCUUUAAAGAGACUUCAUUAUUUUUUAGGGAGGCUUCAAUGGGCCUUAGAUGUUUGAUGUCAGCAGUGGGAUAAGUGUUAACUAUUCAAUGUCUGCAAACAAAAAAAUGACAAAUCACUUUUAAUGUAAAGGAUCCAGAGUCAUAAAUCUGAAUGACCAAAUGAGGUUUAUUGAAAUGUUUACUGUGCCGUAACUUGUGCCUAAUUAUGAACAUCUGGAUGAGCAUUUUAGGGAAAUGAGUCGAAAGAUUCAUUCCAGUAGUUCUGUCGUAGAUAGCAUCUUGCUAUAGUUCUAUGUAAUAUCCUUUUCAUAUCUGAAAUAAAAUAAAGCAUAUCACUGCCUACAGAUGGCAUGUUAGCAGUGUGCUACAUCUGAACAGAUUAUCACACCUUGAACGAUCCCUUUAUGGACAAUGUCUGUGGCUCUUUAUUUGGGCAACUCCUUAACUGUACGCCUUAUAGAGUAGCAUGUUUACAGAUAGUCAAUAGAUGACAGAAAAAUAUGUUAUGCACUUCAAGCAGAUGUCAUACACCUACCAAAUGAGUGUGCUUUCACACUUUGACAUGUGAUGUUCUUGUGAUAUACUGUGGCCUUUUCCUAUCACAAUGUAUCAGUUUAGUGGUACCUUUCUGUGCACAAGUGUCUCUGCAUGUUUUUGCAAAGAUUCCCCUCCAAGCAUGUUGAGUGCUUUACGCAUGUUGAUGCUGCUGUUAUUUAGUUGGUACAGUACAGUAUUCACUGUCAACGUUAGAGCCUUCUUUUGAACAUGUAUUAUGCUUGCCUUGAGCCUCUUUCCUUUCAUAAUAAAAGUAAUUACGAUG